rnacentral:rRNA from 1 species
CCUACGGGAGGCAGCAGUGGGGAAUAUUGGACAAUGGGGGCAACCCUGAUCCAGCCAUGCCGCGUGUGUGAAGAAGGCCCUCGGGUUGUAAAGCACUUUCAGUGAGGAAGAACGCCUGGUGGUUAAUACCCAUCAGGAAAGACAUCACUCACAGAAGAAGCACCGGCUAACUCCGUGCCAGCAGCCGCGGUAAUACGGAGGGUGCGAGCGUUAAUCGGAAUUACUGGGCGUAAAGCGCGCGUAGGUGGCUUGAUAAGCCGGUUGUGAAAGCCCCGGGCUCAACCUGGGAACGGCAUCCGGAACUGUCAAGCUAGAGUGCAGGAGAGGAAGGUAGAAUUCCCGGUGUAGCGGUGAAAUGCGUAGAGAUCGGGAGGAAUACCAGUGGCGAAGGCGGCCUUCUGGGCUGACACUGACACUGAGGUGCGAAAGCGUGGGUAGCAAACAGGAUUAGAUACCCUAGUAGUC